AAGUGCUCCUUGUUUCCUGCGGGGGGUUUUUUCCGUGCGCAACCACCAGAGUGCGCGCAACUGCAGUUUAAAAACCCUGAGUUACAAAACUUCUCCAAACCUUCCUGUUGUCGGUCCGGGGCGCUAAGACUUCCGAUAUUGUGCUGGUUUCAACAAGACGGAAACCGACAAUUAGAGCUGAUUUUGCGACUAGAUGCAAGAAAAGGUGCUUACCAUUUUUUUUUUUUUUUUUUUGCAGAGACAACGAAACGCUGACGUUCGUACCCCGUUAUGUCUGCGUGUGUGCAGGAAGUGGGCACAGCCGAAAAGAGAAGCUGCCACGGUAGCGUGCAUCACCAACCACAAUGUUCAGACUCAACUCUUCACCCCUCAGCUUCUCUUUGCAGAGGGGGAAGUGGGAGUUUGCUGAGGCUGACCUGCUGAUAAACACUGCCAGGCCUUGAACUAUGCUGGAUUAUUAUUUUUUUAUUUGUAGAAACGAACGAAUAGAUAAGAAACGUGCGCAUUAGAUCUGUGGAUGCGUUUUUAGCAGCUUCUGUCUUUGAAGUUCGCAGAACAUUCAGUUAUGCAUGUUUUGCAAUAUUCUUCAUAAAAACUCUCGAUAUGUAUCACAGGCACCAGAUGAUGAUGCUGAUUUGUAGUUCGUGACCUUGCUGUCACUGUCAGUGUUAUCUAGCCGAUGUCCUCCCACACACUGUUAAACAGAAAAGAUCACGUUAAUAGGCUCUGUUUUAAUAGUCAAAAUCAUUUGCACCUAGAGACAGACAUAGGCUACUCAAGUUAGAGAUUGAUUGAUUGAUUGAUUAAAAAAGUAAUAAACCUAGUUAAAUAAUUCUCCUUUUGAGAUAACAAAACAAACAAAACAAAAAAGAACUUGUGCCACUGCGAUCUGAGAAACAGGUGUAUCUGUGUUUCUAUCUCAUGUUCACCUUCGCAGGAGACUGUGUGAGAGGGGAAGUGUUUGCACACUGUUGAUCAUCUACACUCUUGCUCUAGUGAUACAGACAGGGCAGAAGAAGAGCCAAUCAUUUUGUUAUAAGGCCGGAGGAAGGCGAGGGAACAUUUUGCCACUCCUUCUAUCUCUUGCUCUCUUUUCCUUCUUCCCGUCUCCCUCUUUUCUGUUGCCAUGGUGGCAGGGGUGCGUGACAGUCAUGUGAAAACGAAGCCGAUUGGAUUAAAAUACUUGGUGUGAUCAGGGGUCGGGGAUACUGCACACGAACUAAACACACCAUAAACUGAUUAUGCACACACAUCGUCUCUGAAUGGUUUGCAGGCAAAGUUAAUGGUGUGUGUGAACAAGUAUUGGAAUUGUUUUGGAGAAAAUUAUAGAGAACAAAAAUAUAUUAUGUCAUUCUGUAUUAACUUAGUAUUUUUAUAAGGAAUAUGUCCAAUUGUGUGAAAAAAUGCACUAAAUACUGUCCUUGGUACAAGGAAAAAAUAUAUAAUGGUAAAAAUGUACAAUGGCAACAGCACUUUCUGCCAAAAUACCAUAGUUACUACUAGUUAUUUUUACUGUAAAAUAAUAAUAUGUAUUUCUAAUACAAUAUAAUAUUAGACAUGUACACACAGACAUACUACCAAUGGAGGUUUGAGGGUUUUUUUUUUUGGUAACACUUUAAAAUAAAGGUUUAAUUUGUUAACGUUUAGCUACAUUAGUUAACAUGAACUAACAAUGAACAAUAUUUAUACAGCAUUCAUUAAUUUUGGUUAAUGUUAAUCUCAGCAUUUACCAAAAAAAAAAAAAAAAAGGAUAAAAAGUUUUUGAAUUAAAUGAACAAAGUUUAAUGAAUGCUGUAAAAUAUAACAGUUCUUAGUUUUAUUAUAUUUUCUACAUUUGUUUUAAAUUAAAUUAUUUAACUUAACUUGCCCUGCAUGUUUGUUGCUAUUACUUUUUCUAACAAUCAUUGCCUGGCAGGUGAUAAAAAAAUAUCUUUAAUUUGCUUUAAAGAAGAGUCCUAUUCUCUUGCAACUUUCGCCAGCAUGACAGUGGUGAGUGUUUCUUCUGAAAAUGCUGUUUUGUUGGAUUUCUUUUAAAAUUCAGUUAAGAUUGUUACUGUUUGGUGGAAAAGUUUUGUGUGGCCCAAUUUAUUUUACUGAAUUGAUUAUUCAUAAUGUUGAUGGAUUGCAUCUAAUGUUUCUUUAUUAGCAUGAGAACUGUUUGUCAAGUCAUUCUCAUUUGUUAUAGUGACACUUUAACCAGCAGAAAUCAUACAGUGUCGAUAUAGUGUCGUUCUCACACACAGUGGCUUGUUUUGCAGCAUUUAUCACAAUAUGACAUGAACCUCAAUGUCAGGCUUCCUCUUUCUCCUGCUUGCUGUUCAAAUUGACACUGUGAUUUCACCUUUCUCCAUCAGCUCUCCUGCUGUCCUGUCUCUCCUCCUGUUUCUCCUCUCUCACGCUCCCUCGAUUCGCACCACAGAGCCUGAGCAGCUGUACUCCAGUCUACAGGGGUUGUAAAAACCAGGGACGAAAGAGGAAGUUCUAAGGGAGCUCAUGAGUUAUUGCCCCCCAACGUACACAUGGGGGCCUGGGAACUGCCCUCCUCCCUCACCCGGCCUGAAACAAGACUGACGGCUGAAGCUUGAUGCCCCUUCACCCUACUGGCUAAGAGGCUACCGACCACUGAGAAUUACUUUGACCUCAGUGCACUUUUAAGCCGGUGGGACCAGCCUCAGAAGAUCAAAGGGUGGUUUAUUCAGGAUGAACUCUAAAAUGAUUUGCCAUACCCUAUGACUGUAACCCAAAAACACACUCUUGUAAUGGAUCAUCACAAGUGUCCUUCUGAAGACCUCACUGUUAUAUGCAUCAUACGUGCUUUAUAAAUAGCCCUCUCACAGUGUAUGUGAUGGGUGAGUAGACAUCACAUUUGCAGCAGCAAAUUCCGUCCACCUGCCCCGGCCAAGACCCAAGGUCCACUUACAAGACACGCACAGAUUUCUCCCCCUAAAGAACGGCUUUAACUGCCAGCUCUUUCCUUACCCCAUCUUCCAGUAUCCUCUCUACUGUCUUGGCUCCUCUGAGGACAAGAGUGGUUUUCGUGCCAGGAUGUGUUAGUGGGGGCCGCAAGCUGACCCAGAGCCCUGACCACUGCGGAACGUUGAGAAGUGUUAUGGUGCUGCGGUGAUCCCAACACUUGCACAAAGUGAACCUGAUUCUUGAGAACUUGGCUUUUGUCCAUGCUAAGAUCAUGAUCAUGUUUUAGCUUGACGAUAUUACAGCUGCUUUUCCUAUAAUUAUUGCUGUAUUACAUUUCUCGUAAAUUUAAAAGAUUUGUUAGGCGCUUACCACAUAAAGGGAGCACAUUAUCAUCAAACAGCCAUCUAAUUUGUUGUACACAGGUUACACCUGCACACUGUUGUUACAUCUAGAUUAAUUGGUGUUAUUAAAGCCAAAAUAUUAUUUAAAA